ACCAAAUGUUGAAAUUUUUAAGAGGUUCCAAAACCCACUUUUUAAUGACCAGUUCAGAUCUGAAGUCACUUUGUGAGGCUUACAUAUUAGAUUACACUAUAUAUUAGAUGAAUAGGACCCAAACCAAAUUUUAAGAUAUUCAUUCAUCUCUCCCCUACUGAUUUAGGGGGAUAGAAAGAUAGAAGAGGUGAGCCUGAUACUUCUUAUGUACAGUAUGUGCAGGGUUAACAUUUAACAUUAAAAUUCAGAAUUGUUUUACACAAUUCUUUCACAAAACUAAGGUGUUUCACAAAAUUACAAAAUCACAGUUACAUAAGAAGAGGUAAUGUUUGUUUCGUUUCUCAAGUCCCACCCUCAAAAUAAUAAAUUAGGAACCUCGAUCCUCGAGAUUGUCAUCUCACAUUACAUCCUGUCUUCAAGAAUUGAGCCAUGAGCUCCCUGAUCGGAAUUCUCAGCCUCCUCUCGGCUCUUGCAGCGACAAGUUAUGCUCUUUCGUGUACACAGUGUAUUUCUAAUGAAACAACAUGUUCCGGUACCAGCAUAACCUGUUAUUCAGGACUUCAGUGUGCAUCUACAUACACAGAAACCACUAUUGCUGGAGUAAAGUCUACAUCUUUGACCAGAUCAUGCGCACUUUCAUCAAAUUGUGGCUUAAAGGGCACGGUGACCCUACAACAUGGACAUAUGAGGCUGAGCACUUCAUGCUGCAAAACUGACUACUGUACUCCUGAUCUUCCCACAUGAUCAGUGUCAGCUUCAACAGCCUUUCGAGGGUGCGCAACAAAGUCCAUCUGUGACAUCGGCAGCGAGUCCGCAAGCAUUAACGAAAUGACACGUUAUGUUAACUAUACCUGCACCAGCGGUGGCCUUAGUGUCCAUAACAUCGUCCUGACUCCGGCCAUUGUGUGUCUUCUACUGCUGAAACUGUUCUUCUAACAGAGAUUAAGGAUGUUUGGAUGAAUGAAGCCAAAGGAAACAAAAAAUGUGUUCAGUAUAGAAUAUUUUAAACCUUGGCUAGAAAAUAUCAAUGUGCACAAGUAAUUGAAAAAUUUUCUUCUGCAUCUACUGUGUUUCAUUUUGUUGUAAGUUUACUUUUGUUUUACAAACCGCAUCCAUUGACAUUUCAAAAA